UAUCGGUGAAGAUGCCGAUUACCCGCGAUGGGACGAAAAGACCCCGUGAACCUUUACUAUAGCUUAGCAUUGAAUUUGGGCACGCGAUGUGUAGGAUAGGUCGGAGGCAAUGAAUCAGGCACGCCAGUGUUUGUGGAGCCGCUGUUGAAAUACGACCCUUCGUUUGUUUGAGUUCUAACUCAAGGAUUGAGGACAUUGCUUGGUGGGUAGUUUGACUGGGGUGGUCGCCUCCAAAAGC
rnacentral:rRNA from 1 species